AUAGUUAAGUGAAGAAGGGCGCACGGUGGAUGCCUUGGCACUAGGAGCCGAAGAAGGACGGGACUAACACCGAUAUGCCUCGGGGAGUCGUAAGUAGACUGCGAUCCGGGGAUUUCCGAAUGGGGGAACCCACUGCUCGUAAUGGAGCAGUACCUGUAUCUGAAUACAUAGGAUACAGGAGGCAGACCCGGGGAACUGAAACAUCUCAGUACCCGGAGGAAGAGAAAGCAAACGCGAUUUCCUGAGUAGCGGCGAGCGAAACGGAAACAGCCCAAACCAAAAGGCUUGCCUUUUGGGGUUGUAGGACACUCCACCAGGAGUUAUCAAGAAAUGUGUUAGACGAAUCGAUCUGGAACGAUCAGCCAAAGCAGGUAAGAGCCCUGUAGUUGAAAAGGCAUUUCCUCCGGAGUGGAUCCUGAGUACGGCGGAACACGUGGAAUUCCGUCGGAAUCCGGGAGGACCAUCUCCCAAGGCUAAAUACUCCCUAGUGACCGAUAGUGAACCAGUACCGUGAGGGAAAGGUGAAAAGCACCCCGGGAGGGGAGUGAAAGAGAACCUGAAACCGUGCGCUUACAAGUAGUCGGAGCACAUUGAUGUGUGACGGCGUACCUUUUGUAGAAUGGACCGGCGAGUUACGAUCGUAUGCAAGGUUAAGUGGAAGACACGGAGCCGCAGCGAAAGCGAGUCUGAACAGGGCGAAUGAGUAUGCGGUCGUAGACCCGAAACCGUGUGAUCUACCCAUGUCCAGGGUGAAGGUCAGGUAACACUGACUGGAGGCCCGAACCCACGUAUGUUGAAAAAUGCGGGGAUGAGGUGUGGGUAGGGGUGAAAUGCCAAUCGAACACGGAGAUAGCUGGUUCUCUCCGAAAUAGCUUUAGGGCUAGCCUCAAGGAUAGCGAGUACUGGAGGUAGAGCACUGAUUGGAC
rnacentral:rRNA from 1 species